CAAACACAUAUGCAUGUUCAAAUCAAAAGGUCUUUUCAUGGUUGUAAUGGGGCCAAGGACAAGGGAGGAUACAUCUGGAUAAGAAGCUACAAACCAUAAGGAACAGAGGAGCAAUGGGGAACAAGUGUAAACACAUUCAAACACACCCACAACCUCUAAUUCCAUCCUCUUCUAGACUCCAUUAUUCACAAAUUUUUUUUCUGUAUUUUCUCUUUUUUUGUUCUUCUUUUUUUUUCUAAUCAACACACAAUUCAAAAGACAAGAUACAUGAUAUUUACAGUGCAACCGCAAGAAGAGGACUCACUAGCCAAUUCAUCUGCAACUCCUAAGAGGCCACACUUAUUCCAAAAAUAAUUCCAAAGCUCCAAAAAUCUUAAGGUUCAGGUGAUCAUGGUUUUUCACUUAGGCUAUUGUAUGAGCUUCAAAACAAAGAAAUGGGGGAAGUAUAGUGAUGAGUGGUUAUUUCUUGAACUAUACUUAGUUUAUUGCACUUAAAUAAACCAGGGAAUUGUGUUUAAUUGUCUGUUAUUUCCCCGUUUUCCGAAUUCUGCUUAAUUUGGUCGGAAAUUCGUAAUUGUGCUAAUUUGGGUUUUCUGAGCUGAUUAAGUGUAUUUUGGUUGCAGGGAAAUUUUGGGAAACAUCAUUUGGAGCAUCAGGGAUGGUAGCAUGAUCAUUCAAGACUCAAUAUUUAGUCAUUUCCAUUUUAAUAAAGUUGUAAUUUCGUUUUUUUUAGAAACCUUAAUUAAAUUAGGUGUUUUUGGGCCCUUUUAGUGGAAAUUUUGUAGAAGCCCAAUGUGUGGGACACUUGGCACCAAAACCCUAGGGUUUUUAGGAGGUGGACCCCACCUGUUUUGAAGUUGGACGGCAUUUUGAGUAGCAAUUGCCGAGACAAACUCUAGCACACUUCAUAUUACACUUUCAUUUUUGGCUUUGCAUGUAUGAACUCUCUCUUGGGAGCUUUGGUGUGCCCUUUUCGUUUUUGAGCUUGAAUGGACCAAGAUCACGUUUUUCUUCUUCUCUUGCUUGCAACCAUGCUUGUUCUUGCUUAAUGGAAUGGAGUUCUAUCAUUUCUCUUCUUAUAUUUUCGUUUUGAAGGUUGAGAGCUUGAGUUUGGAGGUUGUUCCUUGCAUUUUCAUGGUGUUUCCUUUGGUUGAAUGAAGACCCAUUUUGUAUUUCGUUUUUUUCUUCCUUGGCUGCAGUAAUUUCGUUUUCCCUUUUGGUUUUCUUGGUUGGAUGAUGAAAAUGGAGUUCUUGUUGAGUUUAGUAAUGAAAAAUACUUGAGUUGAUGCAUGGUUGUUGGGAGCUUGAACCCUUUUCUUCUUGUGCUUUUGUUUUGAUGGUUAGAAGUAAUAUAUGAAAUGGAACAUUGUGUUUCUUAUGGAGAGCUGGACGGUGCUGCAAGGUGGAGUAGAAAUUCCAUUUUGAUUUUCAUAAAAGUUUGAAGAAAAGGGAGUGUUAGGUUGGUUAGUAGAAGUUGAAAUUUGGGGUUGUUGUUCUUGUAAGCUUUAGCAAUUGAAACUUUGGGUUCUUUGGAUGUUGAUCUAGGUUUUGGAAGGAGAAAGGAAGCUAUUUGCAUUUUUCUGAUGGUGUGGAAACCGUUUGGUGUUGAAAAGGGAGAGAGAAAUGGAACAUUUAAUAUUUACCCCAUUUGGACAAGCACAUGUUGAGACACAUUUACCAUCAAAAGGAAAAUUGCCAUUUUGGUCUUUGCCCUUGCUAGCAUGACCGAGAAUUACAUGAGGAAGUGAGUGUUUUGUGUUUUUUUUUUUCACAUUUGAC
rnacentral:lncRNA from 1 species